UACGAAGGGGGCUAGCGUUGCUCGGAAUCACUGGGCGUAAAGCGCACGUAGGCGGAUUGCUAAGUCAGGGGUGAAAGCUCGUGCUCAACUCCAGAACUGCCUUUGAUACUGGUCGACUUGAGUCGGGAGAGGUGAGUGGAACUGCGAGUGUAGAGGUGAAAUUCGUAGAUAUUCGCAAGAACACCAGUGGCGAAGGCGGCUCACUGGUCCGGUACUGACGCUGAGGUGCGAAAGCGUGGGGAGCAAACAGG
rnacentral:rRNA from 1 species